AUACGUAGGGUGCGAGCGUUGUCCGGAAUUACUGGGCGUAAAGAGCUCGUAGGUGGUUUGUCGCGUCGUCUGUGAAAUUCCGGGGCUUAACUCCGGGCGUGCAGGCGAUACGGGCAUAACUUGAGUACUGUAGGGGAGACUGGAAUUCCUGGUGUAGCGGUGAAAUGCGCAGAUAUCAGGAGGAACACCGGUGGCGAAGGCGGGUCUCUGGGCAGUAACUGACGCUGAGGAGCGAAAGCAUGGGUAGCGAACAGGAUUAGAUACCCUGGUAGUCCAUGCCGUAAACGGUGGGCGCUAGGUGUAGGGGUCUUCCACGACUUCUGUGCCGUAGCUAACGCAUUAAGCGCCCCGCCUGGGGAGUACGGCCGCAAGGCUAAAACUUAAAGGAAUUGACGGAG
rnacentral:rRNA from 1 species